UGAGUUCUCCCUGACCCUUUAAGGGUCCUGAAGGAACGUUGAAGACGACGACGUUGAUAGGCCGGGUGGGUAAGCGCAGCGAUGCGUUGAGCUAACCGGUACUAAUGAACCGUGAGGCUAAACCUUACAACGCCCAAGGUGUUUGG
rnacentral:rRNA from 1 species